CGGUGUUCAACUGGCGUGCCCGCGGGACGUCCUGCCGGUGAGCUCAGCCCGCGAGGGCGGCUCAACUUGAAAUCCCAUCGCGGUGCUCUUCAUUGAGUGUCGAGGUGGGCCGGCACGAUUACUUUUGAACAAAUUAGAGUGCUUAAAGCAGGCUAAAAUUUUGCCUGAAUACUGUGUAUAUGGAAUAAUGGAAUAGGACCUCGGUUCUAUUUUGUUGGUUUUCGGAACCCCGAGGUAAUGAUUAAUAGGAACGGAUGGGGGCAUUCGUAUUGCGACGUUAGAGGUGAAAUUCUUGGAUCGUCGCAAGACGGACUAAAGCGAAAGCAUUUGCCAAAAACGCUUUCAUUGAUCAAGAACGAAAGUUAGAGGUUCGAAGGCGAUCAGAUACCGCCCUAGUUCUAACCAUAAACUAUGCCAGCUAGCGAUCCGCCGACGUCCCUCUGAUGACUCGGCGGGCAGCUUCCGGGAAACCAAAGCUUUUGGGUUCCGGGGGAAGUAUGGUUGCAAAGCUGAAACUUAAAGGAAUUGACGGAAGGGCACCACCAGGAGUGGAGCCUGCGGCUUAAUUUGACUCAACACGGGAAACCUCACCAGGCCCAGACACUGGAAGGAUUGACAGAUUGAGAGCUCUUUCUUGAUUCAGUGGGUGGUGGUGCAUGGCCGUUCUUAGUCGGUGGAGCGAUUUGUCAGGUUAAUUCCGAUAACGGACGAGACUCUGACCUGAUAACUAGACGCACUUGCGGCAUCUCAAAGGUCCGCCGGCGGCUGGCUUUGCGCCCGUCGUCGCGCGCGAUUUUUACUGCCGGCGUACAAUAAACUCUUCUUAGAGGGACAAGUGG
rnacentral:rRNA from 1 species